UAGAAGUUAAAAACAUAGGAAGAUCAUGAAAAGUUUUCGGAAUGACAUAGACAUUGACAAACAAAGAUAUGAACUAGUUUCGAGUAUCUUUUAACCAUCCAUCAAGGUAAACUUGUUUGGAGUCAGGGGUGGAUUUCUCUUUCUCAGCUCGAAUAUCUUUCAACCAUCCAUCAAGGUAAACUUGGUUGGAGUCAGAUGUGGAUUUCACUUUCUCAGCUCGGAUAUCUUUCAACCAUCAACCAUCCAUCAAGGUAAACUUGGUUGGAGUCAGAUGUGGAUUUCACUUUCUCAGCUCGGAUAUCUUUCAACCAUCCAUCAAGGUAAACUUGGUUGGAGUCAGAUGUGGAUUUCACUUUCCCAGCUCGAAUAUUUUUCAACCAUCCAUCAAGGUAAACUUGGUUGGAGUCAGAGGGAGAUUUUAUUUUUUCAACUCGGGUAUCUUUCAACCAACCGUCAAGAUAAACUUGUUUGGAGUCAGAUGGGGAUUUUAUUUUCUCAGGUCGGGUAUCUUUCAACCAUCCAUCAAGGUAAACUUGGUUGGAGUCAGUGGUGGAUUUUGUUUGCUUUGCUCGGGUAUCUUUCAACCAUCCAUCAAGAUAAACUUGGUUGGAGUCAGAGGUGGAUUUGGCUUUCACAACUCGGGCAUCUUUCAACCAUCCAUCAAGGUAAACUUGGUUGGAGUUCGAGGUGGAUUUUUCUUUUUCUGAUCGGGUAUCUUUCAACCAUUCAUCAAGGUAAACUUGGUUGGAGUUAGGCGUGGACUUUGCUUUCUCAGAUCUGAUGUCUUUCAACCAUCCAUCAAGAUAAACUUGGUUGGAGUCAUCAGUAGAUUUUACUUUCUCAGCUCGAAUAUCUAAAAUAUUUUAAUAAUUUUGAAAUAUAUUAUUUUUAAUAUUGUAGUGUCAUAUUCUGGGCAAAUGCCGGAAAAUUCGAACAUAAUCAGUNNNNNNNNNNNNNNNNNNNNNNNNNNNNNNNNNNNNNNNNNNNNNNNNNNNNNNNNNNNNNNNNNNNNNNNNNNNNNNNNNNNNNNNNNNNNNNNNNNNNNNNNNNNNNNNNNNNNNNNNNNNNNNNNNNNNNNNNNNNNNNNNNNNNNNNNNNNNNNNNNNNNNNNNNNNNNNNNNNNNNNNNNNNNCAUCAAGGUAAACUUGGUUGGAGUUAGGCGUGGACUUUGCUUUCUCAGAUCUGAUGUCUUUCAACCAUCCAUCAAGAUAAACUUGGUUGGAGUCAUCAGUAGAUUUUACUUUCUCAGCUCGAAUAUCUUUCAACCAUCCAUCAAGGUAAACUUGGUUGGAGUCAGAGGUGGAUUUUGCUUUCUCUGCUCGGGUAUCUUUCAACCAUCCAUCAAGAUAAACUUGGUUGGAGUCAGAGGUGGACUUAGCUUUCUCAACUCGGGCAUCUUUCAACCAUCCAUCAAGAUAAACUUGGUUGGAGUCUGCGAUUGGUUUUGUUUUCUCAGCUCGAGUAUCUUUCAACCAUCCAUCAAGGUAUACUUGGUUGGAAUCUGGGGAAGAUUUUUCUUUCUCAGUUCGGGUAUCUUUCAACCAUCCAUCAAGGUAAACUUGGUUGGAGUCAGAGAUGGAUUUCGCUCUCUCAGAUCGGGUAUCUUUCAACCAUCCAUCAAGAUAAACUUGGUUAGAGUCAUGGGUGAAUUUUUGAUUCUUCAAUGGAUUUUUGAGCCAACCAUCAAGGUAAGGCUGAUCAGCGUGUUUUUCUUCUACAUUCUCUUGCUCAAGUUUCAUAUAUCGAGCAGAGCUUCCUUGCCCAUUCUACAAUACAAUUGAAUGAAGGGAUAUUAUUGAGUGACAUUUGGAUGGUAGAUUUGAUUAAAAAAAUGAGACAUAUUUUAUUGCACAGUUAAGACAUAAUCAUUAUAGCAUAUGGAUACAAAAUUUGAAAUAAAAAUUAAAGAAAAUAAAUUUUUUAAAUUUCAUUACAACAAAAAAUUAUUAUUUUAUCAAAUCAAAUAGAAGCAUUUGAUUAUGAGUGAAUGCGAUGAAUGCAAAUAUAGAUAAUGAGAAAUGAUAGAUUACGAUCUUUAGGUGAUGAAAAAUAUAAAUUUAAGAGAUAAGAGCAUGCAGUAACUUACAAUUAACAAGAGCAGGAGAAAAGGUAGGAGAAACAAAACAACUUUGUGUGUCAUUUCUUUUCUGCUAUGUUAUUGUUGAAAAACUACUUUAGUGUAAAAGAUGCAUUCAAGUGGAAUUGAGUUGGACUAUUUAUAACUGAAUGAGAAGAAAAAGUACAAAUAAUUGGACUUUAAAAUUUUGUUUGGCAAAAUUAAAAUUUUUGUUUUUUAAUAUCAUGUAUUUUUCUUUUUUAAUUCGAAGCUCCUAAAUUAAAAUAUUUUAGCCCUUCUUUUCUACUAAAAAAUAAAUAAAUUAUUUAGAAUGACUACUAGAAUUAAAUUAUUAUUUUAAAAUUAAAAAUGAUUUUCUAAAAAACUUAAACAAACAUAUUAAAAUAAUCAAAGUGGUUAUCUGAAAAAUUACUUCAGAUAAUAUAAAAUUUUCUUUUAAUUUGAUGAUGAAGUGAUAAUAAUUAUCAUAAUCUUAUACACAAAAUUAUGAACUCAGACUAUUCAUAUUUUUAAUUUUAAAAUUAGUUAAGCUACUUUAAUAGUUAAUUUGAUUAAAUAUUAUAAAUUCAAUGAGUUAAUGUGAUAAAAUGUCCAAUUAAUUCAAUUAUAAUAUUAUUCAAAUAUACAUGUAAUAUAAUAAUAGUGUUGGGAUAGAGGAAACCUAUGCUAUGUAGUCUGUGCUCAGAAGUAGUAUGUGGAGUCCACAUCCUAGGUUCUUGUAUUUUGAGCAAGAAAUAAGACCCAUUUACUACAUAGCCAACAAUAAAUACAAAAUAAUCUUAGGAAAAACACUUAAAUACUCUGAAGAGACUUGCAUGCUUAAGAUGUUCACAUGAAUCAAAACAGAAGAAGUUGCAUGCUUAAAACAACGUGUCCAUUGAAUUUUUUAAAGGUAACCUCAGUCAUCCAUUGGCCGACUGUUUUAUUUUUUAAUUUUCUUUUUAAUAUUUUUUAUUUUUUACAGAUUUAAAUUAGUUUUUACUUAAUAAAAUAAUGAAAAUAAUAUUUAAAUUAUAAUAUUUUUAAUAAUUUAAAAAUAUACUAACUAAAUGUUGUAUUAUUUUUUUAAUAUUAAUUAUGAUAUUUAAUCAAUUAAAUAUAAUAUUAUAAAAUCGGAUAGAUCAUAAAAUCGAUGGAAGUAUUGGGUCAACGAUUUUGGUUGAUUCUAGUCGGUUCAUACUUAUUCAAUAGCUUACAUGAUAUAUCAAUCAAACCCGACUGAUGACUCGUUCGAUUCGUAGUUCAACAUGUUCGGUCGACUGAUUUGGUUCGAUUUUCGGCAUUUGCAAAUAUACACUACAAUAUUUAAAAAAUAAUAUAUUUCAAAAUUAUUAAAAAAAUAUUUUAAUUUAAAUAUUUUUUAUUAUUAUUUUAAUUAAACAACUAAUUUAAAUUUUAAAAAUAAAAUAAAAUAUAAUCUUGGCCAAUGGAUUGACGAAGAUACCUUUAGAAAAUUGCAUGCAUUAACGAGUGUUUUCAAAAAAAUAGAGCACUUCCAUAAUUUAUUUUCAAAUAUUAUAAGGUACAGAAGUUAUGUGAUGGUAAAACCCAAAAGAUUGAAGAAUUUGAAUUAGUAUCGUAAUGUAUUUAUUUUUAUAUUGAUGAUGUUAAAUUUUGUAUUUAAUUUUUCAAAUAUAAAUAUUUGUUUUGUCUAUUUUUUUUAAUAUAGUUUUAUUAUUCUCAUUAUUAUUUAAAAUAUAUAAAUUAAUGAUAAAUAUUUGGUUUUAAAUGUGAUUGUGGUUUAGAUACAACUAAUUAUGGUUAACCAUUAAACAAAGAAGGGUAAAGAAAUUAUAAAAGAAAAUCUAAAUAUUCAUAUUCAAGAAAUAACAUAACACACUUAAGUGCGUAGUCUUCUUAAAUCCAUUUAAGUAUCAAGGUCGGUCCAACUGAUAUACUGAGACUUAGGGCGAAUUUUAUAAUGAAGCUUUUAAGAAUAAAAAUUAUGACAAUAAUAAUUAAAUUAAAAAAAUUAAGCGAUGCAAAAUUAAUUAUUAAUUAAGUUAUCAUAAUAUAUUUAGUUUAAUUUUGCAUCGCGUAAUUGUUUUAAUUUAAUUAUUAUUUGUCAUAAUUUUUAUUCUAAAGCUUCAUUAUACAAAUUCGCCCUAUGGGCUCCUAUAGUCAGUUUGGACCGACCUUGAUCUUAAUGAUUUAAAAGACUCGCACUUAAGCUGUGUUAUGUUAUUUCUUGGAUAUGAAUAUUAGAUUUCUUUUAUAAUUUCUUUACCCUUCUUUGUUGAAUGGUUAACAUAAUUAGUCUUCAUUAAACUCCACAUCACAUUUAAACCAAUAAUUUAUCUAUUAUUUAUAUUUUAAAUAAUUAUGAGAUCAUAAAAUUAUAUUAAAAAAAAUAGACAAACAAAUAUUUAUAUUUGAAAAUUAAUACAAAUUUAAAUCAUCAAUAUUAAAAAUAAAUACAUUACGAUACUAAUUAAAUUCUUCAAUCUUUUGGGUAUUUACCAUCACAUAACUUCUGCUUACCUUAUUAAUAUUUGAACAUAAAUUUAUGGAAGUGCUCUUAUUUUUUUGAAAAACACUCGUUAAUGCUGCAAUUAUUCUAAAGGUUAUCUUCGUCGAUUCAUUGGCCAAGAUUAUUUUUAUUUUAUUUUUAAAUUUAAAUUAGUUGUUUAAUUAAAAUAAUAAUAAAAAUAUUUAAAUAAAAUAUCUUUUUAAUAAUUUUGAUUAUUAUUUUUUAAAUAUUGUAGUGUAUAUUUGGCAGAAUGUCCGAAAAUCCGAACCAAUCAGUUCGACCGAANAAAAAUUAAGCGAUGCAAAAUUAAUUAUUAAUUAAGUUAUCAUAAUAUAUUUAGUUUAAUAUUUACUUUCAAUCAAUAAUAAAAUAAAUAUACUUAAUCCUUAUUAAAACACUAUUAUUAAAACAUUAUUGAUCUUGAAUAAAAUUUUAUUAUCUUUCAUUUUUAUGCAAGGAAGGAUUAUAUUAUUGCACUACUUAAAAAUUUCUAUUAUAUUAUUGUCAUAUAGUUUAUUUAUUUUUGUAUAAAUAUGGUAUCAUCUACGUGCAGCUGUAUAGAUUAAUCGCUCGAGUCUUGUAGGACCAUAAUAAACGGCAAGCUCUCACUAAAAGAUUUAACACUACUAUAUUUUCAGAGCUGAAUUCAAAUUCAGGACCUCUGGGUAAGUUGGAAGUGACUUCCUCCUCUCACCUAAGUGCUCUUGUGUUUUAUCUAUAAAUUUUAGUGGUGUUUACUAUAAUAACCUUUUUUUAUCAAUAAAUCAAUAUUUGAAAUUUUAUCAUUAUCUAAGUCUUUAAAUUCAUCUCUUUGACUUCUAUUAAUAGAUUUUACUUUCAUUUUUGUAAGAUGUAACAAUAUAUUUAUAACAUUUUUUUAUCAAUAAAUCAAUAUUUGAAAUUUUAUCAUUAUCUAAGUCUUUAAAUUCAUCUCUUUGACUUCUAUUAAUAGAUUUUACUUUCAUUUUUGUAAGAUGUAACAAUAUAUUUAUAACCAGUGAAAAUGUAACAUGUCUUUCUUGAGACCUAUUUAUUGAAACGAUCACUUAUCAUUUGGUUAUGGCGCCCAUUUUCCAUAUCACCCAUAUUUCUAUGAAAAUGUUACUACUACGAAUAACCUAUUUUAUCUCGGUUGAAAAAAAAUUAUUAUCUCAAUUUUUGGGCGACGUAACGAAGAGUGUCGUGGAAAGUAACCAUUUUUCUUCUCGGUCUACUUGCAAUUGAGGAGAAAGGUGGAACUAGUAAUGGAUUCGAUCCAUAGUAACUACAAAUUCGUUUUGAAAACACACUAGCUAUGAGAUCUACAUACAUGAUUCUUUGAGGUGACUUGAUGACUCUUCUCGACCUAUCUCUUGUCAGCAGGUAGUCAUCGACAAUUUCCUCAGUUUCUGCAACAUCUUGCUCUUCUUCUUCAAUUUAUCUAGGACAUGCAAUUAGGCAUCAUAUGCCACCUCAACAAAAUUUCUCACCGUCUACUCUUCUCCAAGAGAUUUCGGCACUCGAGUCGACCAACAUACCCUGUUUUCUUGAACGCCAUCACGACUUCAUGAAAACUCAUCGGCGACCUUGUGAUACAUCUUUUGUGACUCUAGUUUAGCACCACAAGCUAUAAGCUUAACGCCUCAAGAAUAUCCAAGGAACAUGCAUCUCAGGAGCUCUAGGUAUCGACAUUGUCUUGCUAAUGUAACAUAGGCUAACAGACCAAUAUACUCUUAGUUUGUCGAGAUUUGUGGAUAGGGACUCGCAACCAAACUUAUUCAGGUGUUUCAUCCCCACGAGGAUGAGGACACUAUUUGCAAGAUAACUGGCUCUCAAAAUACCUCUGCCGCACACCCUCUUAAUCCAGCACUAACCAACAUGCAUCUAACCUUUCAAGGAUGUUGAUGAAUCUCUCAGUUAAGUCAUUUGUUUGAGAGUUACCUGUUAUAGUCUAUGCCUUGCAAUCCUAGACGCACAUGGUAACUGUCGAAAGCUUCAUUCGCAGAACUUCAGGCCAUUGUCAAUUCUCAACCUUUUAACCUUCGUAGUCUAAGUUUUGACGCAGAACCUUACAACUCUUGAAACUUUAAAGUUCAUCCUUAGUCUUCCUGAAUAAAUACCCAUACCUUCAUAAUCUUUUUGGCUGCCUUCGAAUGAUCCAUUCUGGAUUGCUCAAUAAUUGCUAAUAUCACUAUAUAGCCAUAUCGGACGUGCUACGAACUUGGAUACACCAUCUCCUACAUGCACUUAUGGUAUUUUGCAUUCUUGAAUUUUCUAUAUAUUUUAGGAACCGUCUGAGACUAAUUUGUCUCCCUAGUGAUUAGAGUAUCCCCUGGUUUACAUUCCUUCAUCCCAAAACAUUUAAGCACCUUUUUGAUAUAGCUCAUUUGUGAUAAUCCUAGAAAUCCACGAGAUCAGUCUCGAUGUAUCUGAAUUCCUAAUGCAAAGAAAAUAUCACGAAGAUCUUUCAUUUCAAAAUUUCUUGAUAGAAAUUUCUUAGUUUCAUGCAUCAUGCAUAUGUCAUUUGUGGCAAGAUGUAUGUCAUCUACAUACAAGACUAGGAAAAUGUACUUGCUCCCACUGAAUUUGUGAUGCACACAAUCUUCAACAACAUUCACCUUAAAACCAAAUGAGUGAAUUACUUGAUGAAACUUGUGUUACCACUGAAGAGACGCCUUCUUUAGUCCAUAAAUGGAUUUUUUCGAUUUGCAAACCAUAUUCUACGAGUCUCCUGACACAAAGUUUUGUGGUUGCACCAUUUAGAUCGUUUCGUCAAUGUUUCCAUUGAGAAAACGAUCUGAGCAUCCUUUGACAGGAGGUUUAUCAAAUAAAUAUAUGUGCAGACAAGCAGGCAUAUGAUUGUCCUAAAAGAUUCUGUAGAUAAACUAAGGAGAAAGUCCUCUUUAAGUCAAUUCCCUUGCUUUUUUGUUGAAAAAAGUAAAUAAGAGCGCGCUCAACCGACAAGAGCGAGGGGCUGUAUAUGUGCUCCACAUUUACGUGUAAGAGAUCCACGGCUUUGUCUUAAAUAAUUCUUGCGAACCAUGCUUUCACAAGCUGGCUAGUAAGCGGAUAAUUCCCGAAACUUUAUUGCGUCUUGCAUGGACUUAUACUCCCUCUUCAAUUGGGCUUCUAGAUCGCAGCCUUUUGCACUCUGAGUUACGAAAUCCGCUGCAUGACAGUUGGAGGAGGUGUGGGAUUGGUGAGUCAUGUCUUUAUCAUACGAAUUAUUUUCCUCAUCGGCUCGUGAGAAAGCACAUCAGUAACUCAUUAGAAUAGCAUUUCGCCUCAGCCGCUUCUGCAUAGUGAUGGCCUAGGCAAGACGUGUUCUUGAACACUUGUUGCUUAACGAGGAAUUGUUGAGUUUGUUCUAUCAUAGGAGUACGCCUACGAAUGCAUCGGCUUAGUAGGAGGGAACAGUCAACAGUGUUUUGUGUGAGGUUCCAUACUGUGGGCUUGGGUUGUAAAAGCAAGCGUAUAAUCGAUUCUACUGAAUUGUCUAGCGACGCGAUUCUCCUUAAAAUAACAGUUCUCCUAACUUAUUCGGCGCGAAACCAGCAACACGCAAUAUCCUCUAAAGAAUGAGUUUGUUUCGCGUCUGCACAAAAAAUUUAAUUUAAAUUUGGAUGCGUCAAUUUUGUUGUGCCCUUAGACUUCAAGAAGCUAAUCAAAAUAAAAAAAGUAGCUGGCUAAUGUUCGAGAGUCAAUUUGCUUUCCCAUUGGCCUAUAGAGGGCGCUUGCCUCAGUUGACAUUCACUGGCAAGCCAGACUAAUCGCAUUACGCAAAAUGAUUUUAGAUUCGUAGGAGUGGGCUUAGUUCUCGGUUCUAACUUCGCUAAGUCUGAUCAUUAGAUGUUGUUUGGAUGGAUCGGCAAUUUGUUUCUUUAAUGAUUUGGUUGAUCAGUUCAGGCCCUGUAUAUUGAUUAGGUGGUGUUUCAUUGUUAUUCUAUGUAGCGAAUAUGUUAAGUUGGCAAGGCAUUGCGCUCUUUAGUCGUCAUAAUACUCCACAGAGUGAGCUUUCUUUGCAAUGGAGGGUUUCUGUUUAGAGUACGAAAUUAGGCAGAUCGUUGAUGUCACUCUUACCAAGCCUAAGAGACGAUUUUCUGUCUUUGUUUCUUCUCAACACAUUGUUGCAUGCUAGCAGCACGCUAGCAAUAAUAUAAAAAGAAAAUUUGCAUUUGCAGGCGAUUGAUUCACCUCGCAUGUAUUGAUAAACCGAUCGGUAUACACUUCGCAUUAGGGAUUUGGCAACCUGUUCUUGGAUUUAGUAUGAAAAAAAUAUACGGAAUAAUAUUGGAUUUAUUGUGCGUUUAUCUUUGAAAAGCCGAGGAAUAAAUCGAUAUUCAGGUAUACAUGGCUUUUUCAGAAUUGAGCUCGUCCGAUGGUCUGAGCAUGGACUAUGGUACAGCGAAUUUAUCCCCUUUCUUAUCUUAUGCAUCUUUCUUUAAGAGCUGGAGGCCUCAUGCAUUGAAAUAUUCAGGGAUGCUUUUUAAUUGAUAGAAAGUAUGCUACUUUCUGCAGAGCCGGUAAUCAGAUUUUCUUCGCUUCCAAUGAGAUGAUAGUGUUCUGCCGAUAUAUAGUUUAUUUUGAUUUUACGUUCUAGUUGCUCGAUAGCCAUGCGGCAGUAUUCGAAUUUUUCCUAAAAAACAACACAUAAAUAAACGCUCUAAGACGAAAGAAAGGGGUGGCGCGUAAGGUAAGCAGAGGGUGCCAUAAAUCAUCAUACUGAUGCCCUUGCAAUAAGAAAAAAUGUUAUGUGUUAGUGUUCCUUGUGCUUUCUCAGAGAUCGCAAAUGCCAUUCUUUUAGGCUUUUUUAAAAUUCAGGGGGAUGCUUGUAAUACAUCCCAGAUCCCUAAAAUGCCCAGUUUGAUGUAAGGUAAGUUUCAAUUGGGAUAGCAUACGAGUCCAAAAGUGGCUGCUAAGUUCAUGUUGUCAGUUGAGGUCAAUAGAGUAGUUAUGAACUUAUAAGAGAUCAAUAUUACUUAAAAGAGACUCCACUUUAUAUUAAUUAGUCACCCGAGGAAGCAAGUUGGUAACAUUAAUAAUGAGUUAAUUGUCGCUAAGUAGUAAAAAGAAUUAUUGAGAUAUUUAUUACUGAACUUUACUCCCUUAUUCGCUUUUAAGUGUCCGAUAUUCUUCGUAAAAAAUUCGUUCAUUUUUAAUGUUAGGCUAUGGCACAAAGUUCAGAGUAGCUAUUAAUGGGACAAUUUGUCAGAACACUCACUACCCUACAGUAGUUAGCUAUAUAUAAUAGAGAAAAAGUAAAUCGAUAUAAUAAAUAUAUUUGGGGUAUUAGUAAAACAAGAAAAUUAUUAUUGUGAAAAAUAAACAAUAAUGAUUAGCUUGCUUAGGUAGUGUAAAACAGUCAAGAAAUCGAGCAGGCUUAAAAAGUAACGGAGUGAGGUAACCGUAAGCCAGGCGUGACAUUAAAUAUAUACGUAUAUAUAUAGGGCUAUAGUAUACAGGAUAUACAUAUAUUAUAUAUAAUAUAAAUAGAUAAUAAGUUAGGGAUAGUAUUAUUAAACAGUCAUAACGUAGUAAUAUACGAUAUAUAUAUACCGAUAUAUGAUCGUAUAUAUACUAUAUAUAGAAUAUACUAGGUAUAUAUAUGUAUAUAGAUAUAUAGUAGUAUAAUACUAUAUUAUCUCUAUCAGUUAUGAGUAUACGAUAUAUACCCAUAUAUAAUAUAAAUAUAAGGAGGGGUGAUAUAUACUAUAUCAGUAUACUAAUAUGUAUGCUAUGGUGGGUAAAGAAGAGAAUAAUAUAAGAAGAGAGUUAUCGGUAGGAAGAAAAAAAAGAAAGAAGAAGAGAAGAGAAAAAGAAAGAGAAAAAGGAAAGGAGAGAAGAAGAAAUGAAUAAGCUUAUGGAUUCUUCCCAUAUUCAUCCUCAUGAUCACCAAAUCAUCUAUAUUUCAUCUAUUUCAUCAUCCUCUUUUUGAAUCAAGGUAAUUUGAAGCUUGGGGGAAAGAACUUCAUGGAAGUGGGAUUAGGUUUUGCGAAUUUGUGAUUUUUCAUGCUUCUAUGUCUCAUACCGUGAUUCCCACAUGAUUUUGUGUGAGCUAUGUUGAUUGAAUAUGAUGAUAGGUAGUGUUUCAUGAAUAUAGGUAUUGAUUCAUAUUGAGAUUGGUACCAUAUUGUGUUGUUGUGUUGGAACCAUGAUAUUGUAUUUGGUUGAUGUUAAUUCUUGUUGGAUAGUGACAAAAAAUCAUGAAUCCAUGCUAGAAAAUAUGAAGACAUGAAUGGGUAUAAGUGAGGAUGGUUUAGGGAUGUUAAAUAUGGAAGAAAAAUUGUUUAGAAAUAUGAUUUUUGGAAAUAUUUUAGGUGUUAAUCGAUUGACACCAUGGACCAAUUGAUUGGUCCCUUCCAUUUUAGUGAAAAAUCGUGGCAGAAUGUUGAUCCAAUCGAUUGGGCCAUAACAUGAAUCGACUAGUUCCCCUAUUUUCACUCUAAAAUAAGUUUCGUAACUCAGAAUUAGGCCCAAUCAGAUGCGUUGGAAAGCUAGUUCAAUUCUAUAUUGUUUAGUAAGAUAUAAUCAUGAUUAUAAUUAAUUAUCACUUGCUUGUUGGUAUUAUACUAUUAUGUGUAUUUAUGAACUAUGUUGUGAAAUUAUUGUGUGUUGAUUGUGUAAGUAUAAGACUGAAACUUAUGAGUGAGGGAAACCUAGGUGAAUAUUAGGUAAACGAAUUAGAAAGAUAACUUAAGUCAUGAAUUGAGUUAGAUAGUGAUGCUUGGAUGUAAUCAUACCGCGGUGUGUACAACAGACAAGUAGUCACGGGAAUGAUACAUUAAUAUGCUUUGUAUGGAACAUGUGUGAUUUAUGUAAUGAGAAUGGAUCACGUUAUGAUGCCAUGAAAAUUGAUAUGAUAUCAUGAGAAUUGAGUUGAUAUUUUUGGUGAGGAACCUUUGUUCCAAAAGUUCUAUUUUUAGUGAGGAACCUUUGUUCCAAAAGUCCAAUUUGUUAUUGAGAACUAAUGACGUAUUCAGAAUUAUUUGUGAUUGUGCACAUACCAUUUAAGAGUUUUAUGCAAAGCUAAAAAUGGGGAUGUGGCACCAAUGAUUCGUGCCUCAAUUGGGUUUGAGUUCCAACCAUGGCAGAUAUGGGGGAAAGGUGGACACCUAAGUGGGUUAGAGUCCCAUACGGUGAAAGAUACCCUAAGUGGGUUAGAGGCCCAUACGGUUGACGGUCGCUUGAACUAGGGAUUAAGCCUCAUAGAGGACCCGAUAUCAACCGUGAAAGUCGAAUCAUAUGAGCAUGCAUGAACCAAGCCUGGCUUUGACGUAGGUCCGUUCGGGGAUUGAUGUUUCGUGAAUCCGAAUAGUGAUUUAUUGAGUUAUAUAAACUCAAGUGACAUGGUGUGAGUGACGCACAAGUAACGGUAGGUGUGAGUGACAAGGUGUGAGUGAUGCACAAGUAACGGUAGGUCAAUACUUGAGUUAGAAUCGACUAGUAACCCUAUAGAGCCGAAUGGACCCAUAGGAUAGGGGAAAUCACUGAGAUUAUUAUCUCAUCCCAUUAUUGUUGUUAUUUUUCAGGUAUUCCUUGUUGGUUGAAUCCAAGAGAAGAUGUCUAUUGAUGUUUGAAGGGAUGCAGUUAUCGUGAUCUUUCCGCUGUGGAGUUGUGUGUGAUGAAGAUAUUGUACAAGUUGCUUUAAGAUUUUAUAUUUAGGCAGCCUAUGGUAAGAACAUGUGUGCAUUAAUAGUUUUUAGGUUGGACAUGUGUUAUAAUGAUGUCAUUAGGCACUUAUGGUGUGACAGUACGGCGAACAAAGAAAAUUUAACACUUGUUGAUAUUAUUCUAGAUAAUAUUAUUAUAAAAGUUGUUACAGUUGGUUAUCAGAAGUAGGUCCGAUUCUCCAGACCUAAGCCCCUUGAAACAUCAUAACGUAACUCUUUCCUGCCUCCAUAUGUGUGUUAUCCAACAUUGUCUUAAUUCAUUUGUAUGUAGUAUUGGGCAUGAUCAACCUAGUUCUAUGUGUGUGGUAGGAAGGGUCAUGGUUGAGUGACCACGAGGACUAUGAAGUGUUGGUGGAACUUGUGCUUGAAGGGUAGGCUCAAGUCAAUAGUUAGCAAGUAAGGAGAAUCGAUAGCUCCAUUGAAGUUUCAAGAGGAGUUGUGAUUCAGGUAAUAUGGAAUUGAAGAGUAGUGUAUCGUUCAAACAAUUUUGUAGUGUUAACAGAGUUGAGAAGUUGAGGAAUUCUAUCAGAUGAGUUUGUCAGAACCUUGGGGAAUAAGUGAAUCUGCUAGUAGAACAAGAUUGACUCACUGGUAUGGAAUAAGUAUUGUAAGUAAUUCCAUAUUGUGAAGGAGAAAGGAUCAUUAUGUUGAACAUAUGUCAUAAUGUCUAUAAGUGAGGUAGUGCACCGGUGUUUCAACUUCUAAAGUUACUAGAAUAUCUUGGAACAACAAGAGUACUUCAGGGAGUAUAUUUAGUAGGGUACCUUCCAAGUGGUUGAGGGCUCGAGAUAUAGUGAUGUUCAACAUCCUGCUAAGGGUCUAAGGUAGUGGUGAAAUAUGAGAAGAGGUUCGAGGAUAUGACUUCCUAUUCCAAGUGGGACAUGUAUGUCCUAGGCGAAUGGUAGGAGAUAAACCAAGUAUACCCAUUCUUAGAAGGGAGAUCGAGUUCAAGAUAGUUCGUCAGAGAUUCAGUGUUAGUAGGAUACUAUUAUGGAAAUGUUGACUUAUCUAAGGAACAGUCGAAAGAGACUCGUGUUGGGAGAGAGAGAGAAAGUAUAUUAUAUUCAAGGAAACUUUAGUAGAAUGGUUCCUUAAUUGGAUUUAAGAUAAUUACCUUAAAAGAGAAGCAAACAUGACGUUGGGAGCAAUGUGAAUCUUGCAACACAACUAUUGUAAUGAGAUGCAAGGAUUUAAGAUAAUUACCUUAAAAGAGAAGCAAACAUGACGUUGGGAGCAAUGUGAAUCUUGCAACACAACUAUUGUAAUGAGAUGCAUUUCAGAUAAAGGCACAAAGGGAUCAUUAAUAUUUCAUCAAUGCCAAGAUAAGAGUGUGCAAUUGUUGAUUGUUCAUAUACGAAGAUUUCUAGAGUAUGAGCUGAAGAAGAAAAAGUUAUACUUUGAUACUAAGUAAAUACAUGUUAUUGGAUUACCUUGUGUUGGGAUAGUUAUGAAGUAUUGCACUCUUUAUUUCGAGCAGAUGGGUUUUGUAUCUUGAGAGUCGAAGUCGGUGGCAAGCAACUUGGGUAUGGAACUAAGUAUGAGUCAUGAAACAAAUGUAUGGGGUGAUCUUGGAAGUAGUUGAUAAGGGUGGUAAUUUAUGGAUCGUGCAUUUAAGUAGCUUCUAUGUGGUGAAGUGUUCAGUGGAUGUUAAGUACGGAAAUGAACCCAAGUCGGUAAGGUGUGGGAAUAUAAAGGUUCACCUUAAGUGUUGUUAUUUGGUUAGCAAGAGUGAGAGUAGUUUAUUAGAAGUCUUGUUGUUGUUUCCUUCAAAAGUAGUUUUGGAUUAUUUGAGCAAGGGUAUGGUGUCCACACCUUGUUGGAACAUAUUGUGUCGUAAAUCUCAUUAGUAUACUAUUAUGGACGUCCAAGGUUGAUAGUGGAGGUCCAAGCUAUUGAAAUCUAAGUAGAUAGUCUUGGAAUUGGAAAAUUUUGAAGGUGUAUUGUGUAGUUGAUCGUUUGUAGAGAUGUCAUAGAAUCUAGAAGUUUGGGGAACCAUCCUAAGGAACCAUAAGGAGUAAAGCUGGAAGAAACCUAUCGAGUGGUGAUCCUAAGGAGGCUAGUUCAGUAUCUUGCGUACAUGUUAGUAAGGUGUAAACUGAUUAUCUAGAAUGUAACAUUGGUUAAUUCUCUUGUAUUCAUAGUAUCAGAUGUAGACCCCAUGAGAGUGGUACCUGAUGUGCACAGUGAUGCUUUACCAUAUUGAAUGGAUUGAGAAUUAAGAAAUUUUGGAAAUUAAGUACAUAACUCAGACUGCUUAUGACUAUGAACUGAGCUAGAAUUAUCUUUCGGGAGAUGAAGCAAGUCGAAUAAGAUGAAUGGUUUUGGAUAUGAAGUGUAUGUAUCCUCAGAUGUGUGAUCAAUUGUGUAGCUCCGUGAGCAGCAUCAGAAACUCGAACUUACAUUCUUGUUGCAUAAGGUCCCUUUGGUAGUGUUAUCUCGUUGAUGACUUGAAAUUUCUAGAUGGUAUUAUAUUGUUGGUUUGUUGAAAUUUAGUGUCAGCAUAAACCAUGAGUGGGUAAGAACCCUACAAAGGACUUAGAAUGGAUUAUGACGUUAAAGUCCAUACAUUUUCAAACUAAGAUGGAUUAAUCGUAACUAGUGUAGAAGGUUUUGGAAGAUUUUGUAUUCUUGGUCGUAGUUGUGUGACUUCUACAAAUCCAUAUAUUGACAAGUGUUGGUCCUAAUUAUUCAUCUUCACAUCGGUAAGAAAGUUAUUCUUCAUGGGAAUGAUUGAGAAGGUUCUAUUUUAUUUAUGGGAAGCAGGUGCUCAGAGGAAGUAUGGAUUGUCUAAGAACUUGUAUAAACUAGUCUGUAGUACCUUUGAAACCCACGUGUUCCAUGGUGUUCAAUUAGAAAUUGCAUAGGAAAGAGUUUUCGAUGGGAGGAAAUGGUGAAGUACCAUGGAGGAUCAGAAAGGUAACUACUCGUAAGGAUAGAAGUAAGACAAUCUCAUGCAAAGUGUUUUAUCUUGUUGGACUAGUACAAGAGAAGUAGAACAUCAAGUGUAUACGUUGUAGUAUGUAAUAUUAGGACAAGUGAGGUCGAUAGAGAUAUCAUCAGGAUGAUUAUCAAAUUUGCCACAGUUGUUGAAGGAAUUGUACGAGAAGAGUUGACAGUUGUGUGUGUAGUUAUGGAAUCAGUUGGGUAUCUCAUGAAGUUUUAGUAAGUAUGGACUAUCCAAUCAGAUUAAACAGUUGUGUGUGUAGUUAUGGAAUCAGUUGGGUAUCUCAUGAAGUUUUAGUAAGUAUGGACUAUCCAAUCAGAUUAAGGUGUUGUGACUAUGGAUUUUAGUUAACUCAAUUAAGAUAAGAGUAAGUCACAGACUCAUAGUAGAUUUGUGCCCAAGCAAUUUAGAACAUCAUGCAAACCGAGUGAGUAUGAAGAGGUUACAAAUUAAUCUAAGUCUGGAAGUGAAAGUAUGAUUAAGUUCAAGAAGUUUCAAUAGUUCACGAAAGAAUAUAAUUUUGUAAGUGAAGAUAAGUUGGAAAUUUGAGUAUGUUAGAGGAUUAGACAAGAAGAGAAGUCAAGUUUUGACCUAAGACGGUGAUGUUUGAAGCUUUCUUUUCUUUAUUUGCACGAAAUCCAGGGACGAAAUUCAAUUUAAGGAGGGGGUGGGGGGGAGGGAGAAUAUAAUAUCCCACAUUCUAUUAAAUGCUCAGUUGGAUGUCAGUAGUUGUCAGUUGGGACAAACUGAGUUCCUAAGUGCUAUAUUAGUUGUCAGUUGUUGUCAGUUGAGGUUAAUAGAGUAAUUAAUGAACUCAUAAGAGAUCAAUCUUUAUUAAAAGAGACUCACUUUUAUUAAUUAGUACCCGAAGGAACAAGUUGAUAAUAUUAAUAAUGAGUCAAUUGGUCUAGUAGUAAGAAAAAUAUCAUUUGAGAUAUUUUAUUAUUNAUUAUCACUUGCUUGUUUGUAUUAUACUAUUAUGUGUAUUUAUGAACUAUGUUGUGAAAUUGUUGUGUGUUGAUUGUGUAAGUAUAAGAUUAAAACUUAUGAGUAAGGUAAACUUAUGAGUAAGGUAAACUUAUGAGUAAGGUAAACCUAGGGGAUUAAGCCUUAUAGAGGACCUGAUAUCCACCGUGAAAGUAGAAUCAUACGAGCAUGCAUGAACUGAGCAUGGCUUAGACGUAGGUCCAUUUGAGGAUUGAUGUUUUGUGAAUCCGAAUAGUGAUUUAUUGAGUUACGUGAACUCAAGUGACAUGUUUCCAUACAUUGUGGAUAUCCUUCAGUUGCUCAAGUCCUACUUACAAGGUGUGAGUGAUGCACAAGUAACAGUAGAUGAAUACUUGAUUUAGAAUCAAUUAGUAACCCUAUAGAGUCGAGUGGACCCAUAUGAUAGGGGAACUCACUGAGAUUAUUAUCUCAUCCCAUUAUUGUUGUUAUUUUUCAGGGAUUCCUUGCAGGUUGAAUCCAAGAGAAGAUGUCUAUUGUGUUGGUGUAAGCCCUAGAGGCCAAUACUUUUGGUACUUGUAUCGAAUUAUUUAUUAAUAAUAAAAGGCUUUUUAUUUAUUAUGUUUGUUUAAUAAAGUCCCUAGAAUAGCUAGUCCGUUUAAUGUAUCAAGUGUGACUGAAUCAUGAGAUCCCAUUAAACAUAAGGACAUUAUUCUUAAAGCAUCAGUAGUCGAGCUUUGUUAUAAAGUGGGGUAACAUUAAAGCAUUAAGACUAUUAUGUUUGUAGACUGAUGAUCACAUCUCAUGGAUCAUGGAUAAGGAGUUAUCAAGUCUUAAACAUAGGUAUGAAUAUUAAGAGUAAUAUUUAUAAUGGAUUGACCCGCUAUGAGAAUACUAUAUAUAGAAUGUUAUGAAAAGUGUCAUAAGUUAUUCUCAUGGUGAUAGUGGUGUAUACCACCCUUCGACCUGAAACCACUAUGGACCUUAGAUGUAGAGUCGAGUGCCUUAUUGUUGAUCAAACAUUGUCCAUAACUGGAUGACCAUAAAGACAGUGGAUGGGUACUCCACGAAGCAUGCUGAGGGAUAUGAGUGACCUAGAUGGAAUUUGCCCAUCCUGUGUAACAGGAUAAAUGUCUAAGGGCCAAAUAUUGAACUAAACAAGGAUAUCACGGUCUAUGCCUUGUGUUCAAUAUAGACAUAAAGGAAAAAGGGUAAUUGUACACAUAAGUGUUAUCACAAAAGGAUUUGUCAGAUCACAUGACAUUUUCGUGUCUUGGGUAGUAGUGAUGUGUUGCUAGAUACCGCUCACUGUUUAUUAUGUUAAAUACGUGAUUUAAUAUAAUUACCAAUGUCGCGAGAACCUACAGGGUCACACACAAAAGGACAGAUUGAUGAGAGAUAGAGUAAAUAAGGAACACCAUAAGGUACGAUGCACUUAAGUUAAUUGUAGAACAUCGUAAGGUACGGUGCACUUAAGUAGAAUACGAAAUAUGGUAAGGUACCACGUGCUUAAGUGAUUUUGGUAUAUCAUAAGAUAUGGGCCACAUACACUUAAGUGAACUUUUUAGCUCACAACCCACACAAGUGGUUGUAUAAAUAGAACCCUUGUGCAAAAGCAUUUGAAUAUAUAAAAUUUUGUUUCUCUCUCUCUCUCUCUCUCUAUCACACACACACACACACACACACACACACACAUACACACACACACACACACUCAAAGCCUUCAUUCGUAGUAGCUAGCACUGAGAUUGAAGGAAUCUGUUCGUGUAGACUGAGUAGAGGCAUUGCCACCAUUCAACAUUCGUGAUCACUUCUUAGAUCUGCAUCAAAUUUUUCAAUCGCCACAAGAGGUAACGAUUCUAUCACUGGUCAUGCCCAUUCGUAAGGAUCACUAAAGGAGAAUUUUUUUAAUUUCUGUUGCGUUUUGGACCGCUAUUCUCCUUCAUACUGAUGUUUCAAGGGAUGUAGUUAUCGUGAUCUUCCAUUGUGGAGUUAUGUAUAAUGAAGAUAUUGUACAUAAUUCUUAGAUUUUUAUUAUUUAGGCGCUAUUGUAUAACAUGUGUGUCGCAUCCGCGAAAAACAACCGGCGGGCUGAAACAAAAACAACACAGAGCCGCCACCGUGCGUUAUUUAUCCCAAAAAAGGGAAAGGAAACGCUCAGAGUAAACCUGGGAAAAGCAUGGUCUCGCGACCAAAGAGAAUGGGUACGGGAGUCGGUUACGCAAGGGGAAGGUAUUAGCACCCCUCACGUCCGUCGUACUCGACGGGAUCCACGCUCUAAAAGAAAGAAAAGGUUGCUAAAUAAACAUCACACACACACACUGAAGACAACACAGAUGGAGGAAGAGGGAGAGGGCUCGCUAGGACAUCGCGUCCUAUGCCUACGUAUCUCGUCUGGAACGAGAAUCAGAGCUGCCGUAGUUCGGCUCACGCACGCCAAACAAGACACACACAAACACAGGCAAACCUGGAACCCGAAUGCCAAUCGCUGGACUUACAUCGGCUUCCGAACCAAACAAACACAAUCAGGAUACGGACAGCCAAUCGCUGGGCUUACAUCCAUAUCCUGACACACAAGAGGAUUAACAAGCAAACACACACAAAAAGAAAAAAAGGUGCCCGGAGAGACCUCGCACGGUCUCCUGCCUACGUACCUCAUCUGGUAUGAGGAUCAGGGCGACGUAGUUCCCCUGAAAGGGAAAGAAAUUCUAGCCAGAAACCAAGGGGAGACACACUACUAGGGAGCUGUACUCGAGCCUAGUGUUAUCAUGCAUCAUUGCCCUAUGUUAUGGUUUCUAUCUACUUGCACAACAGCAAGCUAAUCCUAACCAGGAAAAACAAGCAUGCAAGCAUCAAUCAAAAUAAAGCAAACAUUUCAAAUAGCACACACUAUAUCCAGUCAAGUGAGGCUCAAACAAGGGUGGACUGCCGAGGCAAGUCAACUGUACAGGGUAGUGUUCGCUCUUAACCCUGACAUUGAGAGUCAGGGUGAAGCAGAUGAAAGGUGAGUGAAGAUGAGACUUCACAGCUCUUAUCCCUGGCCAGGGAGAGCUUCAGACAAAGGAGCGUGGGUCCAGAAAGUGGGAACCCUUCUACACUCAAGACUCUGACUCGACUGUACAAAUGUACAAGAUCUUGGGUUAAUGUCCCAAUGCAUCAACACAGUGGUGUGAGCAGAGGGACGACUCAACAGAAUAGCGGGAGAUAGAUUGCAUAUCUCUCUUAUCCACCAAUUGCCUUAAUCAAGGUCGUUUCCUGCUUGGGGACAAAAGUAAACAAUCACAAACAUCGCCUCUUAAGGAGGACUUCAGACAGUUGCCUGGCUAAAUAACAAGCCAGGUCUUCCAGACUACAUGGAGACAAGAGAGUCUACCUCAAUUGGUUUAUACAACCAAGAAGCAGCACAAAGCAAGUUCAAAGAUGAACUGUUAGCGACUAUGGUACCUGAAAUCAAUCUAAUACAGUCAGUAUUUAAGUCACAAAGUCAAAACAGACAAGUUAAGAAUCAACAGUCAAUGUAUAAUCAAACAAUGCAAUGUGCAAAGCACAAUCAACUCAAGUGAGCCAAGCGUAAGCUCAAAGCAAGUGAGCCAAGCAUCCUACAAAACACACAAGUUAGUUCACAUCAAGCAACCAAACUCAAUUUAAUCAACUUGCAUUUUUCUCCUUAAAGCAUUUGCAUCUCAACCUGAAACACAACUCAAAAGUGAGAAACAAGACCACUAGGACAAGCCUAGGGUCAAAAGGAGAUGAAAAAUCCAAAACAGCAAGUGAAAAUUAAUCAACAUCAAGAUUUAUCAAAUAAAAACAACUUCCAGUUGGUCUCACACCAAAACCAUGCACCAAAUCCAUUUUAUGUACAAAACAUGUCAAACUAUGGACUUUGGAAUCACAUUAGAGCAAACAGAAUGAUCACAAUCAAAUCAAUAUCAAAACAGCUCAAUAAAUUCCACAAAAAUUCCAUCCUAAACAGAACACAUUCAAUGAGUAGCAUAUCAAUUUUCAUGCAAUUUGGACAAGUGGAAGUAGGGAAAUUAAAUUCAUAAAGUUCAGACAAGCUCAAGCAAGCCAACACAAGGCAUCAAAACAAGAACCAACUCCCAUCAAUCAUAAAACAGUUACAAAACAUGAUAAAUGAAUGGGAUCAAAACCAUAAUGACCUAUAAUGUGUCUAGAAUGCUCAUACCAAAUUUCACAUCCAUCCAAUUAAUGACCAGAAUUUCACAAAGCAAAUACAAACAUGUGUCACAAAAAAAUCAACAAAUGACCAAACAGAGGGAAAAAUUCCAAUCAAAUAGGAAAUGCCAUCAAUAAAUCCAGAAACAUUCCCAUGUAUUCUCAACAUCGAUAUUCUCAAUCAUGCAAAAAUUUGGCUCAAUCCAAUGUCCACAAGUACAUCAAAUAAAAUCAUGAAAUUCAUCAAGCAUGGUGUGACACAAAUUGUCACACCUCUAAUCAAGAAUUCAUAUCUCACCAACCAGGGAUCCAAAAAUUGCAAACCAUACAUCAAAAUCACCAGCAAAGAGUCAAGAACAUGCACAAAAAAUUUCAUGAAUUUCUAUGGAAGCAUCAUCAUUUUAUGAGUGAAAUGGCAAAGCAUAUACAAAUUGAACACAUCCAAACAAUCCCUAGGUAUUUUAUUUUUUCACACGUGCACAAAAAUCAUAAAAAUCACCAUUAAAAACUACACAUCACAAGGAGAAUAAUGCAAAAAACCUCACAAAAUUUGGACAAGAAAUGAAUUAGAUAUGGAUUUUUGAAGUUCAUGCAUCAAAAUGAAAUGGAAAAAAUGAAAAAGAAAAUGAAAUAAUGCAAAUAAAUAGGAUAAUGGCGUUUUUGUAAUUAUUGAAUCCAGUAAGUGAAACUCUGCGUUUCACUUACACGCGCGUCCUCAUGCUACUGGCUGGUGGAAGCGGGAAACAUGAAUUUGAAAAGGAAACGAACAAAUCCGAAUCAAACACGUAUUCUUCAUCAUCUUCAACAAACACCACAACAGAAAUUUCCAGAAAAUGCACAUGAACGAAACUCAACCAAAAUGAUCAAACGAUAUAUCAAUGGAACCGUCUAAACACGUACAUCAUGGAUAUGGAUUUAGUUUGACCUAAUUCUUUCUACACAGCACGGAUCGAGCGAAAAUAGAUUCUACAUCAAAUGUUCAAAUCAAGAUAUCUCUCUCUACACUCAACCAAAUCCAAAACCACAAGUUGCACGAUGAUCUACGUUGAAAGAUCUAUCUAAGCCAUAUGAUGAUUCAAUCAAUUAAGGAGAUCGAAAACUAACCUCUUGAUGAUGGCCGAUGUUGAAUCGCGCUUUUCCAGGUGUAAAAUGUGAAAACAGAUGAAGCUUGUUGAUGUAGGAGUUGAAUGACACGAAUAGCUCAGCUCAAAACAGCACCAGAUGCAAGAAUCUUCACUUUGCCAUGGAUGAAUGAGCUUCCAACAGUUGCGNCCGGGGGGGGUUGACCACAGUUUGACUCUUGUUUCUGACUGUAUAGCAUGUAAUUUGGCUUAUUGACUGCAUCAUAGCUUGAGCUCUCAACACCUCCUUUCAUGAAAAAUGCUCAAUGAUGAACCCUUAGCUUCUCAUAAGCUCAAUACAAUCAUGAAAUAUCCCUCAUAUCCAUUUUAACCUCCCAUCUCCUUGCCAAGCCUGCAUAUGGCCCAAUUAACAACUUAUUCAACCUGAAAUUAGGGCUGACCAGUGGUCAAAAAUCCCUAAUCUCCAAGGCAGCUGUCAUCAAUCAUACCUGGAAUCUCUUGGCUGAGCGAUGAAAGCCAUGAUAUGAUGCACUUACCAUUGCAACCAAGAUAAAAUCUUCAAUCUCUUUGAGAAUAACAACUCAAGAAACCCUAAAUUUGUGUUCACCAACAUCUCUCUCAGCAUACAUUACUAUGAUCAAUUCAAUCAUUUGUAAACCCUUCUAGCUUUGCAAUCUUUAACCUCUCUUAUUUCUUUCUAUCUGCAAUGACCUUAGGAGUGAUGACUUUGCCUCAUGUUUCCACAAUGUAUAUUGCAUAUAGUGCAAUGCCAUAAUGACCCAUAAACACUGAAAUCGAACCAUGCUAAGCUCAGUCCCAAGAUGAGCGAGGCGCAAUUAUUGAGGUGCUUACCAAUUUUCAAAGUAUAUCAUUUUUAGUUGUGGACAUGCGUGACUAUACUCAAGGAUGCCAUUAAUCCGAUUAUAUUAUCUGUGACAAGUACCCAAUAAUUAACAUCUUGCUCAUGAUAUUAUUUUACGAUAUAAUAUUAGAUAUAUAUUAUACGGGUCGUUACAGAUUCGAUACGUCAAACAUCACUACUCACAUUGUUUUUAUUAUUGUUGCUAUUAUUGUUGUUGAGAUCUGAAACCCUAGAGGUUUUAUCUUGUUGUUAUUCUUGUUGUUUAAAUAGAUUUAUAUUAUAGGUUUGUUGAUAUUGUUAUUGUUGUUGAGGACUGUUACUGAGACCCUAAACCCUAGAGGUUUAAUAUUCUUGGUGUUGUUUAAGAAAAUUUAUGUUAUAGGUUUAUUGACAUUGUUGUUGUUGUUGUUGACACCCUAAACCCUAGGGGUUUAAUCUUGUUGUUAUUGUUGUUGUAUAAACUGAUUUAUUUUAUAGGUUUGUUGAUGAUGUUAUUGUAGUUUUGUUAAGUGAUUGUUUUUUAGUUGUUGUUUAAUGUAAGCUGUUGUUUUUGAGUUAUUAAUAUUAUUGGUGUUGUUGUUUAGUUGUUCUACUACUACACAAAGUUAUGAAAAUCUAUAUGUUUUAGUUUAAUUGUUGUUAUUGAGUUUGAGUUUUCGAUUGAUAUUGAUAUUGAGUUUCUGUUUUUUUUAUUCUUUAUGCGCUCUUGUCUAGUUCCGUCGGGUUGAGUUUAUUAUAUUUAAUGUCAAUUGUUUGUCUCACUAACCCCUCUUUGAACAUAUAACCUAGUAAAUUGAUUUUGGAAAUAGUCAUAUGAAAAAUUAUGUUGUAUCUGAAACUUAUCUUACACAGAUUAAUGAUUUUCUAGCAUUCAAUAACUCAUCAUUCAUCUCAUGUUGUUUUAUCGUUAAAAUCUUCCAAUACUUCUAGUUUUCAUUCAAAUUGAAGCAACUUCCUUCUCCUACGAAAACUAGUAACCUCUGAACAGAGAAAAAAUCAUGAGAUGUGAGAUUGCUCCAAUCGCUGAGUCAUGCUUUGUUAGUUCUAAGGUUAAUUUAGCUUCAGUACCUAGAAUACUUAGUGGUUAAACUUUAUGUUCAACUACUAACAUCAAUGUUUCAAUUAUGGGUUUCCUGAACUAUCAGAAGCCAAAUAAUGGUGAAAGAUACAUUGUAUUGGAUAUUAGCAAGUCAGUGGAGGUGAAAGUUGUAGGGAAUUUUAGAUUACUAUUAUGUAUUACAUUUUAUUUGGAUCUGAAAGAUACUUUUGGUGUAUUGUCAUUCAGACAAAAUUUAAUUUCAGUUUUUUAUUGGAACAAAUCAGGUAUUUUUGUUGCAUUUAGGGAAUAAUGUGUUUAAAUUAUAUUUUAAUCAAGUAUUAUUGGAACUUGUUCACUUAUGAGUCAUGAUAAUCUAUAUUUACUUGACAUGUUUACCUACCUGUGGGGAAUCCUUAAGAUAUGGAAUCAUGUGGUAUGAAGCAAAAAGCUGAUAAAAUAAUUCAGGGGCAUUAUGACAUAAGCGUCUAGUCACAUCUCUAAAAAUAUAGAGUUGCAGCGACUAGUGUCUGAUGGAAUUUUAGAUUCCAUUAACCUAACAGACUUUGACGUUUGUGUUGAAUGCGUUAAUGGAAAACAGGAAUUUAUGGACCAUUUCUGACACCUUUUUGUGAAUGGUCAACAUAUUUAUAUCAUUCAUUAGACAAUUACCUAGAUAUGGCGUACAUAUUUCUUAUACAUGAAAAAGUCUCAGUUAUUGGAUUGUGUUCAAAUAGUUUAAGGCUGAAGUUGAGAUUCAAACUAACAAAAGAAUUAAGAAAGUCAAAUAUGACUGUGGCGUGUGGAAUAUUUAUGGCAGAUAUGACGGUUCAGCGUGAACAGUGUCCAUGGCCUUUUUGCCAAAACCUAGAUCAUGUGGUGGAACUGUCCCACGGUACACCAUUCCAAGAUCACCUACACUAUUGGAAAAAAUCAUUAUUAACGUCCGAUGCAAAAUGCAUUUAUCCUCGCGCUACAUAAGCGACGGUAAUGAAGGGUGUCAUGAAGAGUGCACACUUUACUCUCGGUUUAAAAUAAACAUACGGGUAUGUAAAAAGGUCAUGGGUUCAAUCCCCAAGAGUCCUUUUUUUGAGAUUUUGAAAUGGCCAAAAAAACACUGUCCCCUCGGUUUGUAAUUUUCACCGACGGAUAUAUCACAUUUUCACCUUAUUAUCUAAUAAAAUCGGGGGGUAAAACAAUUUUGAGUUUAUUAAAUAUAAUGUGGAUUGCUUAUUUCACUAAAUUCCUAUACUCAACACUAUAAACUUCUUAAAUUCGUUAGGAAAAAUAAUCUAUAUGAACAAUUGUGUUAUAUUUUUAAGAAAAACUUAUAUUGAUUAGUGAUUUGAGCAUCCUGCAAUAUUCAUCAUUCAUCUCCAUAUGUUUUAUGGUUAAAAAAAUUCCCAAUGUUUCAAGUUCUUUAUUCAAUAGUUCAUUUUCUACUAAUUCAUUCUUGAACAAAGCGUUAAAAAUUUGAUGCUUGAAAAAUAAACAAAUAAGGAUGAAAUUUGAAUGAAAACUAGAAGUAUUGGAAAUUUUAACGAUUAAACAACAUGAGUGAAUGAUGAGAUGAUUGAAUGCUGAAAAUCAUAAUCUGUGUAAUAGUUCAGAUACACACAUAAUUUUCACUAUGACUAUUUCCAAAAUCAUUUUCUAGGUAUAUGUUCAGAGGGGUUUAGUGAGACAAAACAUUGACAUUAAAUUAAUAACUCAACCGCGGAUCUAGACAAGAGCGCAUAAAGAAUAAAAAAAACAGAAACUCAAUCAAAUCAACUCGAAAACUCAAACUUCAAUGAGAGACAACAAUUGAACUAAAACAUAUAGAUGUUUCAUAACUUUGUGUAGGUAAGCUAGAAUAACAAAAUGCUUAAACAUAACAUCGACACAAAAUUAUUAUUGAAUAACUCUAAAAAACAACAGCUUACAUUAUUAAACAAGAAACAACUAGAAAACAAUUAACUAACUUCACUUAACAAAGACUCAAAUUAACAUUCAUCAAUCAAACCUAUAUAAAAAAAGUAAAUCAAGUGUAUACAAACAUACNNNNNNNNNNNNNNNNNNNNNNNNNNNNNNNNNNNNNNNNNNNNNNNNNNNNNNNNNNNNNNNNNNNNNNNNNNNNNNNNNNNNNNNNNNNNNNNNNNNNNNNNNNNNNNNNNNNNNNNNNNNNNNNNNNNNNNNNNNNNNNNNNNNNNNNNNNNNNNNNNNNNNNNNNNNNNNNNNNNNNNNNNNNNNNNNNNNNNNNNNNNNNNNNNNNNNNGUUGAACUAUAGUUUAACCACUAAGUAUUUCCAGGUACUGAAGCUAAAUUAACCUUAGAACAUAACAAAGCAUGACUCAAGCGAUUGGAGCAAUCUCACAUCUCAUGAUUUUUUCUCUGUUCAGAGGUACUAGAUUUCGUAGGAGAAGGAAGUUGCUUCAUCCUUAAUGCAAGGUCAAGAUCCAUUCAGCCAAGAAUAAUUUCCACGUUCUCAUUCCAUUCCUUGAAAUUUGUCCCAUCAAGGACUGGAACCAGAUUUAUAUUAGCAAACAUCGAAGUAAUUAUAACUGAUAAUGGAACAAAAUAAACACUAUAAAUAUAGUCACAAAAUAAAGUGACAUCAUGUACAAAAUAAAGUGACAUCAUGUACAGUAGUCCAUGGCACACCUAUUUUCACAAAUUGGCCAUAAUCGCUAAAAAAGAGUUUCUUGGUUAUUGAUUUCACAUACUGUCUCUCUCUUUAUGCUUUAUGAUUGCUUAUGUUAAUGAACAAACUCAAGGAUUCCUUGGAAGUUUUUCUUUAUAAAAAAAAUGGUUAAAAUGAACAAAUAUGCAUAUGUCAACUUUUUACAUACAUUCAUGCAUCCACGCAUUUAUUUGCUUAAGCCUCCAGAAAACAAAAUGCUUACCCUCUCCAUCUUCUUGCAGCAAAAAUGAAGACUCGUCAUCGCUACUAUACCAGUGCAAACAAAUCAAAGAUUAUAGCUGAUUACGAAUAUGAUAACGCUGCUAUCAGGGAAUCUCUUGAUCAGGUUCAAGGUGAGAUGAACCUCUUCAUGAGCAACAUGGAGACCAUCUUGGAGAUUCUCCAAACUCAGAGAGACUCUACCUCUGUUAACUCUGUUGCUGCCAACGUCACUCAUACUGCUAGGGUGACCAAUGCUAUUGCUGAUGUUGCUGUUGCGGUCGAAACUCCUGUGGAGACUAUAACACCGACCAUUGUGACAUCACUUGGUUCCUUAUGUUAUGAAUAGGCUUGUUGCUGCCUAUCCCUGGGGGAUGCCCCAGAACUUUGCUUCUCAGUUUGCUAAUGGGGAUGCCUUUAACCCUCAUCAAACUCUUGUCGCCCCCGAUGCUGCCAAGAAUGCUAUUUUCCCAUGGGGUACACCCACGAUUUAGGCUCCUCCCACGGUUGAUGCUGCCAACCCCGAGGAUAACCAAGGUCAGGUUCCUGCUGAAACUCCUGAAAAUGGAGAUGAAUACUGAGGCCCGUGCCUCCACUUUCGGGUUCCAUCCCAGAAUGCUCAACCUGUGAAUGUGAACUAAUUUCAAGCUGCUCCAUUUGUUUACCCUGGGGAAACCUCUCUGCCAAUGCUGACCUAUGCACCUAACAACCCUGCACUUCAGUAUAUGCAGACUGGGGCACCUCAGGCCCCUGAUGCUCAAGCUGGAGGGCAGUUCCCUCAUAUGGUGCAUGUUGCUUCCCAAACAGUGCCUCUAGGUAUCUCUUAUCCUCCGCAGGUGUUCUUUGCUCCUCAAAGUGCCCUUGUUUAGGCGAUGGCUCCAGACACCUCUCGACCAGCCAGUUAGGUCGGCAUCCCCAUUACUAUUCCGGCCCAGCCUACGGAUUAUCAGUCCUCACCGAGAACUUUAUCUAUUUCUUUUCCUUUUCCUAUUCUUUUGCGAGUAAUCUUUAGAUAUAGCACUUAUUCAAGCGAGAACAAUCAAAAUGGUUCCCAUGGAGUACCAUGGAUGUUUGGGGUGCUAAUACCUUCUCAUUUCAUAACCGACUUCCUUACCCAGCAUAUCUCUUUCCCAAGGGUUUUAUCGAUGUUUUCCCUUUCCUUCGGGAAUAAAUAAAGUUCAAUGGAUAUUUAUUUUUAUGAAUAGAUAAUGAUAAAAACCGAUUCUUUACAUAAUAGAAUUUGAACACAUAAAUCACACUUAAUAUAUAAUACUAGAAUAAUUGUAUUAUAAGGUUUCAAGAGUCUUGACAUCUCAUCUUCUCAAAUGUAUGAGAGUUUGAUAUCUCUAUUCCUUUAUUUAUUUUCAGAGUAAACAUGUUGAAUUAAUAAAACAUAACUUCACCUCUAAGGUUUGAAAAACUAAAGAGACACCAACUCAAUCAUUAUCGAAUUAAAUUAAGGUUUAUUUUAAAAGACAAACAUCUAGUUCAUAGUAACAAUAGCUCAUUAAGCACAUAAACGAGACCUUACCUAGUACAUAGAAAUAAGAUCUUGCAGUACAUAGAAGUUAAAAACAUAAGUUUUCUGAAUGACAUAGACAUUGACAAACAAAGAUAUGAACUAGUUUCGAGUAUCUUUUAACCAUCCAUCAAGGUAAACUUGUUUGGAAUUAGGGGUGGAUUUCACUUUCUCAGCUCGAAUAUCUUUCAACCAUCCAUCAAGGUAAACUUGGUUGGAGUCAAAUGUAGAUUUUACUUUCUCAGCUCGGAUAUCUUUCAACCAUCCAUCAAGGUAGACUUGGUUGGAGUCAGAUAUGGAUUUUGCUUUCUCAGCUCGGCUAUCUUUCAACCAUCCAUCAAGGUAAACUUGCUUGGUGUCAGAGGGAGAUUUUAUUUUCUCAACUCGGGUAUCUUUCAACCAACCAUCAAGAUAAACUUGUUUGGAGUCAGAUGAGGAUUUUGUUUUCUCAGAUCGGGUAUCUUUCAACCAUCCAUCAAGGUAAACUUGGUUGGAGUCAGGGGUGGAUUUUGUUUGCUUUGUUC
rnacentral:lncRNA from 1 species